AGGUCAUCUAGUCCAACUUCCCUGCAAUGGACA
rnacentral:miRNA from 7 species